GCCUCCUUAACACAGUGGUAGUGCGCUGGUGUCGUAAAACAGAGGUCGUGAGUUCAAACCUCACAGGAGGCG
rfam:Zootermopsis nevadensis contig1757, whole genome shotgun sequence.